GGAUCGACGCUCUGCACAGAGUAGCUUUGUUCACGUGCACGAUUAAUUAGGUUGACAAAAUGGCUUCGUACAAUGUCCCUAACACUGUAUUGACUUCACAAAAUUGGCAAAGAAAUUUGGUGUUGGAUGCCCUUGACGCGAUGUUGGCGCCAAAAUUUGCCCGAGUUGAGGGGUUCGCUAAACAGCUUAAGCCACGAGACAAAGAGUACGCGCUUCUUAGAUUGGAAAUGAUCUUAUCUAAAAUGAACAAACAAUUAUUGCAACAACGUAAACAACUAAGACUCCACUGGAGUGAAGAUAAUGAAACUCUUUACAGGUCGCUACUGACAACAGUCGACGAUAUGAGUAAAACACUAGUGAAAUUCAGGAAAUGGUUAAUUGCCAAUUUUCGGCCGGAAAACCAAGAUUGGAACAUUACGAAAUACCUUGACCUGGCAGUGUCAUCCCAUAACACUGACAUCCCACAUGAAUUGAAACAAUUUCUCGAUGAAACGAUGCAAAUAUUACCAAAUCAAUUAACCAUCGAGUUUCGACACUGCUGCAGAGUUCAGUCGUGUAAUCAUCACCAGGCUGCAAAGAGCUUCAAAGUUAUAGUAGCUCAUGGUAAACUCUGCUCGACAAAAGGGGGAUCUCCUGAGGCAUUUUUGCCUUACAACAUCGUCCAAUUUCAACUCAGGCCGCAUCUUCCUUUGGGUCUGUACAUUUGGGCGUAUAAUACUCCAGGCCAUCCCUAUAUAGUAGCUUCAAGGGACAGACUCGACCCGAUUAAUUUGCUUGGUCAUGUGGGUGGAUUAAUGUGCUACGAAAGCUUGGAAGUCGCUGUAAAUGUCCGACUUUGGCCAGAACCUUCAAUGGAAGAUCAGUUUCACCAAAUGUUGUUCGCAAAGGCGACCCCAUCAACGGCUAACUGACAGAGGAUAAACGGAAACACUCGUAGUUUUUAGGUAAAGCAAAUUGCAGCACCUUCGAUGCACAUAAAAUAUAUAAACGACAGUUUUACUAGCGUAAUUCAUAAUAGUAAAAUGUAUGAAUCGCAAUAAAAUUGUACGGAUAAGAGUUCAUAUUUGGAAGAGUGGUGGUUUCGUACAACGGCUCGUGUUUUUUAUUGCGUAAAUUAAUUCGUUUACGAUACGCAUGAGCAGGUAAAUCAUAGCCGAAAAAAACACUAGAUAAUUUUCCAUACGCGGUCAUAAUAGGGACCGCGAACCCACAAUGUCUACGUCUGAACGAGCCGGCAGCUUCUCCAAUGAACUGUGAAGACUAGCGCGAUAUGAUGACGAUCAUGAAACUAUCGUAGUACACAAACAUUCGACGUUGAUAACCACAAAUGAAGAUCAAAUCACGAACAGUGACCAUUUGAAAAUAAAAAGCUUCGUCCGAAGACUGUGUAUAUUUAAUAAAAGUACAGUUGAUUAGUGAUGACUCAUCGACUGGCUGGAUUAAUUCGGCCUAUUGCCGUGGCCACGAUAGCGACCACAAUUGCUCGCGGACGCAAGCAACUCUGAUAUCGAUAACUGUGGCAUAUUCAACGAAAAAAUGAUGGCCGUCCGUGAACUGUGCUUGAAGAAAUCGAUUUCAAUCGUUGGCCAUAACGUUAGCAUCCGGUAGGUCUGCCUUGUUUUAUCUCUCCAUUAUGGGCCAUAUGACGGCAACUGCCAACACGUGUAAACGACGAACUUCUCAAAUCGUCUAUCGAUUUGCCGCGUGUUAGGAGGAAAAAUCUACAAACCUUCAAUUGAGCGACUCCUUUAUUCAGAUAUUGGGUGCAGUAACGAUCCUCGUGAAGUAAAAAUGGUUCGAAGUUCAGCAAUGCUUAACAGAUUGGGAAAGACUGUUUCGCGGUUGAACUUUCAAGACAGUAUAUACCUUUCUCUAAGAGUGGAGUAUCUUUUAAUACAGAUAGAUUCUGUGCUUUCUGCUCAGUACAAGCAUCUAAUGACCUUCACAAAUGGAACUGAUCUAUUAAAUCGAUUGGACGAGGCCAUGUCUGCAGCGGUAAGGUUCAAGAAUUGGUUUCGUGAAAUUAUGCGCACGCAGGACAAAUUUACUCUCGAACGUUACCUUAGCCACGGCGUGGGCGUUGAACAGAAGGAAAGUAAGACUGUGCGAAAGAUACUGUCUAGAAUUAUGAUUUUUCUACCCCGAUGGGUGAACUUUGAUGUCGGGGGUUGUUUUUGCGCUAAACCACAGGUCCUGCAGGAACUCUAUGACGGCUACCGCGUAUCUAUUCUGCAAGGUAACAACCUACCAUCAACUGUCAUCAACUGCAGGGACCAAGAAGGUGUUCAUGGAGUUUGAUGCUGAGGACGUACGAGAAUGCAACAAGACAGUGCUUCAGGUGCCGCUCGACCCGUCAAGUCCGAUGCAGGCAACGGUCUAUAUUCGACUCGAUCAGCGCGGCGGUUUUCGAAGGUUGUUUAUGCCGAAGGAUCGUAAGGUGUUUUUCGAUGAAUCGUUUGAUCCUGUAGCCUUGCUAGGCUUUGAAGGGAGCCUUCUCGGCAAAGGCGAUAUCGAGAUGCCAAUCGCGGUCCGACUAUGGCCGACACCUGAUUGUGAAACGCUUUACCAGGAAUUACUCGCUGAAUCCGCAUUUAUUUCCUCCUCAGUGUCAACGGAGCUGUAUGGAAAAUCUAAGGAAAAAUUAGUAAACUGUGGAUUGUCUACCGGCGGGGUACCAGGCCGUAGUGAUUCGUAAACUGUUUGAAAGACAUCGGCCCAUGUCUAUAAGAAGUAGUACCUGAUAAAUUUAAACGAUGGAAUA